rnacentral:rRNA from 1 species
AUUGAACGCUGGCGGCAGGCCUAACACAUGCAAGUCGAGCGGAUGAGUGGAGCUUGCUCCAUGAUUCAGCGGCGGACGGGUGAGUAAUGCCUAGGAAUCUGCCUGGUAGUGGGGGACAACGUUUCGAAAGGAACGCUAAUACCGCAUACGUCCUACGGGAGAAAGCAGGGGACCUUCGGGCCUUGCGCUAUCCGAUGAGCCUAGGUCGGAUUAGCUAGUAGGUGAGGUAAUGGCUCACCUAGGCGACGAUCCGUAACUGGUCUGAGAGGAUGAUCAGUCACACUGGAGCUGAGACACGGUCCAGACUCCUACGGGAGGCAGCAGUGGGGAAUAUUGGACAAUGGGCGAAAGCCUGAUCCAGCCAUGCCGCGUGUGUGAAGAAGGUCUUCGGAUUGUAAAGCACUUUAAGUUGGGGGGAAGGGCAGUAAGUUAAUACCUUGCUGUUUUGACGUUACCAACAGAAUAAGCACCGGCUAACUUCGUGCCAGCAGCCGCCGUAAUAC